rnacentral:rRNA from 1 species
CGCGUUGACGGAGCGAAGCGACGUCAAACCGAUAAAACAGCAGUGUAAAGUGAGCCGCAGGGCGCUUUGCGCGACAGCGCAAAGGCAGGCGGUUUCGCGUAGCGAAAGCGAAUGCUUUGGGGUGGGGUGACUGCGUACCUUUUGUAUAAUGGGUCAGCGACUUAUAUUCUGUAGCAAGGUUAACCGAAUAGGGGAGCCGGAGGGAAACCGAGUCUUAAUUGGGCGUUAAGUUGCAGGGUAUAGACCCGAAACCCGGUGAUCUAGCCAUGGGCAGGUUGAAGGUUGGGUAACACUAACUGGAGGACCGAACCGACUAAUGUUGAAAAAUUAGCGGAUGACCUGUGGCUGGGGGUGAAAGGCCAAUCAAACCGGGAGAUAGCUGGUUCUCCCCGAAAGCUAUUUAGGUAGCGCCUCGUGAAUUCAUCUCCGGGGGUAGAGCACUGUUUCGGCUAGGGGGCCAUCCCGGCUUACCAACCCGAUGCAAACUGCGAAUACCGGAGAAUGUUAUCACGGGAGACACACGGCGGGUGCUAACGUCCGUCGUGAAGAGGGAAACAACCCAGACCGCCAGCUAAGGUCCCAAAGUCAUGGUUAAGUGGGAAACGAUGUGGGAAGGCCCAGACAGCCAGGAUGUUGGCUUAGAAGCAGCCAUCAUUUAAAGAAAGCGUAAUAGCUCACUGGUCGAGUCGGCCUGCGCGGAAGAUGUAACGGGGCUAAACCAUGCACCGAAGCUGCGGCAGCGACACUGUGUGUUGUUGGGUAGGGGAGCGUUCUGUAAGCCUGUGAAGGUGUGUCGUGAGGCAUGCUGGAGGUAUCAGAAGUGCGAAUGCUGACAUAAGUAACGAUAAAGCGGGUGAAAAGCCCGCUCGCCGGAAGACCAAGGGUUCCUGUCCAACGUUAAUCGGGGCAGGGUGAGUCGACCCCUAAGGCGAGGCCGAAAGGCGUAGUCGAUGGGAAACGGGUUAAUAUUCCCGUACUUGGUGUUACUGCGAAGGGGGGACGGAGAAGGCUAUGUUGGCCGGG